rnacentral:rRNA from 1 species
GACGAACGCUGGCGGCGUGCCUAAUACAUGCAAGUCGAGCGAGGAACUUCGGUUCCUAGCGGCGAACGGGUGAGGAACACGUGGGCAACCUGCCCUCAAGCCUGGGAUAACUCCGGGAAACCGAAGCUAAAACCAGAUAAUCUUCUUCUUCGCAUGAAAAAGAAGUAAAAGAAACCACUUGAGAAUGGGCCCGCGGUGCAUUAGCUAGUUGGUGGGGUAACGGCUUACCAAGGCGACGAUGCAUAGCCGACCUGAGAGGGUGACCGGCCACACUGGGACUGAGACACGGCCCAGACUCCUACGGGAGGCAGCAGUAGGGAAUUUUCCGCAAUGGGCGAAAGCCUGACGGAGCAACGCCGCGUGAGUGAAGACGGUUUUCGGAUUGUAAAGCUCUGUUCUUGGGGAAGAAAACAAUGACGGUACCCAAGCAGAAAGCCCCGGCUAACUACGUGCCAGCCGCCGCAGUAAUAC